rnacentral:rRNA from 1 species
UACGAAGGGGGCUAGCGUUGCUCGGAAUGACUGGGCGUAAAGGGCGCGUAGGCGGCAUACACAGUCAGAUGUGAAAUUCCUGGGCUCAACCUGGGGACUGCAUUUGAUACGUGUAAGCUAGAGUGGAGAAGAGGGGUCGUGGAAUUUUCCAGUGUAGAGGUGAAAUUCGUAGAUAUUGGAAAGAACACCGGUGGCGAAGGCGGCGACCUGGUCUUUAACUGACGCUGAGGCGCGAAAGCGUGGGGGGAGCAAACAGGAUUAGAUACCCUGGUAGUCCACGCUGUAAACGAUGUGUGCUGGAUGUUGGGAAACUUAGUUUUUCAGUGUCGUAGCUAACGCGAUAAGCACACCGCCUGGGGAGUACGGCCGCAAGGUUGAAAC